GGGCUGGCUUUAGCCCAGUGGUUCCUUCUAGUCUGGCUUCCCAACCGCCCCGGCAGAUUAGUCCGGUGGUUCGGGACCCGCGGGCGCUCUCCAGUCCUUAA
ensembl:misc_RNA Vault Vault RNA